GGGUUGUGAGGUUAAGCGAAUAAGCGUACACGGUGGAUGCCUAGGCAGUCAGAGGCGAUGAAGGACGUGCUAAUCUGCGAAAAGCGUCGGUAAGCUGAUAUGAAGCGUAAUAGCCGGCGAUGUCCGAAUGGGGAAACCCAGUGCAAUGCGUUGCACUAUCAUUAACUGAAUUCAUAGGUUAAUGAGGCGAACCGGGGGAACUGAAACAUCUCAGUACCCCGAGGAAAAGAAAUCAACCGAGAUUCCCCCAGUAGCGGCGAGCGAACGGGGAGGAGCCCAGAACCUGCAUCAGCGAUAGCAUCAGAGGAACGGUCUGGAAAGGCCGGCGAGAGAGGGUGACAGCCCCGUACUCGAAGAUGGUAUGGCUGUGAGUUCGAUGAGUAAGGCGGGACACGAGAAAUCCUGUCUGAAGAUGGGGGGACCAUCCUCCAAGGCUAAAUACUCCUGACUGACCGAUAGUGAACCAGUACCGUGAGGGAAAGGCGAAAAGAACCCCGGCGAGGGGAGUGAAAGAGAACCUGAAACCGUGUACGUACAAGCAGUGGGAGCCCCACCACCAAAGCGUUUCACUUUGCGUGGUGCACAAAAUGCGUAACAGCAGCACUGAUGACGGUUGGCGGAGCGGCAGCGACGCCCAACACACCAAUCAAGCAGUGGAGCGUUUUGGGGUGGGGUGACUGCGUACCUUUUGUAUAAUGGGUCAGCGACUUAUAUUCUGUAGCAAGGUUAACCGGAUAGGGGAGCCGCAGGGAAACCGAGUCUUAACUGGGCGAAAGAGUUGCAGGGUAUAGACCCGAA
rnacentral:rRNA from 1 species